rnacentral:rRNA from 1 species
AACUUUCAACAACGGCACCUCUUGGUUCCGGCAUCGAUGAAGAACGCAGCGAAAUGCGAUACGUAAUGUGAAUUGCAAAUUCAGUGAAUCAUCGAGUCUUUGAACGCACAUUGCGCCCCCUGGUAUUCCGGGGGGCAUGCCUGUCCGAGCGUCAUUGCU